UGGGGAAUAUUGCACAAUGGGGGAAACCCUGAUGCAGCGACGCCGCGUGAGCGAAGAAGGUUUUCGAAUCGUAAAGCUCUGUCCUAUGAGAAGAUAAUGACGGUAUCAUAGGAGGAAGCCCCGGCUUAAUACGUGCCAGCAGCCGCGGUAAUACGUAUGGGGCGAGCGUUGUCCGGAAUUAUUGGGCGUAAAGCGGGCGCAGGCGGUUAGAAAAGUCUGAAGUGAAAGGCAGUGGCUCAACCAUUGUAGGCUUUGGAAACUGUUUAACUUGAGUGCAGAAGGGGGGAGUGGAAUUCCAUGUGUAGCGGUGAAAUGCGUGGAGAUAUGGAGGAACACAGGUGGCGAAAGCGGCUCUCUGGUCUGUAACUGACGCUGAGGGUCGAAAGCGUGGGGAGCGAACAGG
rnacentral:rRNA from 1 species